rnacentral:rRNA from 1 species
CAAAGAUUAAGCCAUGCAUGUCUAAGUACUAGCAUUAAUACUGUGAAACUGCGAAUGGCUCAUUAAAUCAGUUAUGAUCUACUUGGCAUUCUAACUGCUUUGCUGCUGGAUAACCGCGGUAAUUCUGGAGCUAAUACAUGUGUAUAUAACGGUCGACGCCGUUGCGUAUAUUAGAUAAAAACCAACCUGGGGUAAAACCUGGUCUUUGGUCGCUCAUAGUAUCCUUGCCGGUCUUCAGUUUAAUCUGGAGCCAGUUCAUUCGAUUUUCUGCCCUAUCAUUGCUUUUGAUUGCACGAUCGAGGCGUGCAAUGGCUUCUACGGGUAACGGGGAAUAAGGGUUCGAUUCCGGAGAGGGAGCCUGAGAAACGGCUACCACAUCCAAGGAAGGCAGCAGGCGCGCAAAUUACCCAAUCCCGACACGGGGAGGUAGUGACAAUAAAUAACAAUGCAGGGCUUUAUAGUCUUGCAAUUGGAAUGAGUACAAUUUAAAUCCUUUAACGAGGAUCAAUUGGAGGGCAAGUCUGGUGCCAGCAGCCGCGGUAAUUCCAGCUCCAAUAGCGUAUACUAAAGUUGUUGCAGUUAAAACGCCCGCAGUCGAAUUUUAGUCUGUAGGUGGCCWUAUCAGCAUUCAUUUGUUGAUGUUGGUUUAUCUGGGACUUUUAACUGGAUCUCUCUUGACUUCGGUCUUGGGGUUGAACCAGUUGAUUACCAUGAGCAAAUCAGAGUGUUUAAAGCAGGCUUUUUAGCUUGAAUGUGUUAGCAUGGAAUAAUGAAAUAUGAUCUUUGGUCUAUUUUCGUUGGUUCAAGACCAAAAUAAUGAUGAAUAGGAGUGGUCGGGGGCAUUUGUAUUUGGGCGCUAGAGGUGAAAUUCUUGGAUUGCCCAAAGACAAACUACUGCGAAAGCAUUUGCCAAGGACGCUUCCGUUGAUCAGGGGCUAAGGUUAGGGGAUCGAAGACGAUUAGAUACCGUCGUAGUCUUAACAGCAAACUAUGCCGACUAGGGAUUGGACUUGGCUCUUAUGGCUUGUCCAGCACCUUAGCGAAAGCAAAGUUUUUGGGUUCUGGGGGGAGUACGGGACGCAAGGCUGAAACUUAAAGGAAUUGACGGAAGGGCACCACCAGGAGUGGAGCCUGCGGCUU